rnacentral:tRNA from 1 species
UCAGAAAAGAUCUCUCUCUUUAAAUCUCCAAAAUUUAUAUACUUUAUAUAUUAUUUUCUGA